UUUGACAUCCCUAUCGCGGAUCGUGGAGACACUUUCCUUCAGUUCGGCUGGAUAGGUGACAGGUGCUGCAUGGCUGUCGUCAGCUCGUGUCGUGAGAUGUUGGGUUAAGUCCCGCAACGAGCGCAACCCUCGCCUUUAGUUGCCAGCAUUUAGUUGGGUGCUCUAAAGGAACCGCCGGUGAUAAGCCGGAGGAAGGUGGGGAUGACGUCAAGUCCUCAUGGCCCUUACGCGUUGGGCUACACACGUGCUACAAUGGCGACUACAGUGGGCAGCCACCUCGCGAGAGGGAGCUAAUCUCCAAAAGUCGUCUCAGUUCGGAUCGUUCUCUGCAACUCGAGAGCGUGAAGGCGGAAUCGCUAGUAAUCGCGGAUCAGCAUGCCGCGGUGAAUACGUUCCCAGGCCUUGUACACACCGCCCGUCACACCAUGGGAGUUGGAUUCACUCGAAGGCGUUGAGCUAACCGUAAGGAGGCAGGCGACCACAGUGGGUUUAGCGACUGGGGUGAAGUCGUAACAAGGUAACCGAAGGGC
rnacentral:rRNA from 1 species